AGCGACGCCGCGUGAGGGAUGACGGCCUUCGGGUUGUAAACCUCUUUCAGCAGGGAAGAAGCUUUUGUGACGGUACCUGCAGAAGAAGCACCGGCUAACUACGUGCCAGCAGCCGCGGUAAUACGUAGGGUGCGAGCGUUGUCCGGAAUUAUUGGGCGUAAAGAGCUUGUAGGCGGUUUGUCGCGUCUGCUGUGAAAAUUCAGGGCUUAACCCUGGACGUGCAGUGGGUACGGGCAGACUAGAGUAUGGUAGGGGAGACUGGAAUUCCUGGUGUAGCGGUGGAAUGCGCAGAUAUCAGGAGGAACACCGAUGGCGAAGGCAGGUCUCUGGGCCAUUACUGACGCUGAGAAGCGAAAGCAUGGGGAGCGAACAGGAUUAGAUACCCUGGUAGUCCAUGCCGUAAACGUUGGGCGCUAGGCGUGGGUCUCAUUCCACGAGAUCCGUGUCGCAGCUAACGCAUUAAGCGCCCCGCCUGGGGAGUACGGCCGCAAGGCUAAAACUCAAAUGA
rnacentral:rRNA from 1 species